GAACGUAAAACAGUGAGACAAAUAUCAAACUUGAGAUUUGUCUUGAGCAAAUAGCACCAUCUUCCCUGAGGAGUUUCCCCAAACACGCA